rnacentral:rRNA from 1 species
UACGAAGGGGGCUAGCGUUGCUCGGAAUUACUGGGCGUAAAGCGCACGUAGGCGGCUUUCUAAGUCGGGGGUGAAAUCCUGGAGCUCAACUCCAGAACUGCCUUCGAUACUGGAGAGCUCGAGUCCGGGAGAGGUGAGUGGAACUGCGAGUGUAGAGGUGAAAUUCGUAGAUAUUCGCAAGUACACCAGUGGCGAAGGCGGCUCACUGGCCCGGUACUGACGCUGAGGUGCGAAAGCGUGGGGAGCAAACAGG